rnacentral:rRNA from 1 species
AACGAACGCUGGCGGCAGGCUUAACACAUGCAAGUCGAGCGCCCCGCAAGGGGAGCGGCAGACGGGUGAGUAACACGUGGGAAUCUGCCCAUCCCUACGGAACAACUCCGGGAAACUGGAGCUAAUACCGUAUACGCCCUUCGGGGGAAAGAUUUAUCGGGGAUGGAUGAGCCCGCGUCGGAUUAGCUAGUUGGUGGGGUAAAGGCCUACCAAGGCGACGAUCCGUAGCUGGUCUGAGAGGAUGAUCAGCCACACCGGGACUGAGACACGGCCCAGACUCCUACGGGAGGCAGCAGUGGGGAAUAUUGGACAAUGGGCGCAAGCCUGAUCCAGCCAUGCCGCGUGAGUGAUGAAGGCCUUAGGGUUGUAAAGCUCUUUCGCCAGGGACGAUAAUGACGGUACCUGGAUAAGAAGCCCCGGCUAACUUCGUGCCAGCCGCCGCAGUAAAAC